UCCUUAUCAGUUAUCUGUGUUAAAUAUAGUAGUGUGCAUAUGUCAAUCCCAAUCUUCCACUUUAUCCCUCUCCCCCUUACCCCGUGGUAACCAUAAACUUGUUUUGUACAUGUGACUCUAUUUCUGGUCACUUUUAAGAAGCCCAGUUUCUAUAGGUGAUGAAAGAAGAGCCCGGUGACAAAGGUUUGGGGAACGCGUGGGAGGAGAGCGAGAAAUGUGGCUGAGAAGAGAAGAAAUAGUCACUGAGAAGGAGAAAGGAGAAAAACAGUUCUUUAUAUGUGGAUGGAUAUGGGUCUGCAGUGGGGAAACAGAAGUUUGAAACGUAUUCAAAUCUGAGCCAGAUUCCUGAAGCAACGUCAAGCAACGUCAGUUUCUUCAUGCAUCUGUAGCACUCAAGAGCAUGUUACUUUCAUUUUCCCAGUUUUACUGAGAAAUAAUUGACCUGCAUCAUUGUAUAAAUUUAAG
ensembl:lncRNA